AUCCAACAUUAUCCAGGAUUUAUUUUCCCUUUCUGAGAAUUAAGGAACUAAAAAAAGGAAUGAUGGGAUAAAGAGAGUUCAGCAUCCCUCAUUAUUCAGUUAUUUUGGCACAGGUGAGCUCUCCCAUGUCCUUCAGUUUAGGAGAGGUCACAUCCCUCAUUAUACAGAGUUGUUAACCCACAGGUGAGCUCUCCCAUGUCCUUCAGUUUAGGAGAGGUCACAUCCCUCAUUAUACAGAGUUAUGAGCCCACAGGUGAGCUCUCCCAUGUCCUUCAGUUUAGGAGAGGUCACAUCCCUCAUUAUAAAGAGUUGUUAACCCACAGGUGAGCUCCCCCAGGUCCUUCAGUUUAGGAGAGGUCACAUCCCUCAUUUAUACAGAGUUAUGAGCCCACAGGUGAGCUCUCCCAGGUCCUUCAGUUUAGGAGAGGUCACAUCCCUCAUUUAUACAGAGUUAUGAGCCCACAGGUGAGCUCUCCCAUGUCCUUCAGUUUAGGAGAGGUCACAUCCCUCAUUUAUACAGAGUUAUGAGCCCACAGGUGAGCUCUCCCAGGUCCUUCAGUUUAGGAGAGGUCACAUCCCUCAUUAUAAAGAGUUGUUAACCCACAGGUGAGCUCCCCCAGGUCCUUCAGUUUAGGAGAGGUCACAUCCCUCAUUUAUACAGAGUUAUGAGCCCACAGGUGAGCUCCCCCAGGUCCUUCAGUUUAGGAGAGGUCACAUCCCUCAUUUAUACAGAGUUAUGAGCCCACAGGUGAGCUCUCCCAGGUCCUUCAGUUUAGGAGAGGUCACAUCCCUCAUUUAUACAGAGUUAUGAGCCCACAGGUGAGCUCUCCCAGGUCCUUCAGUUUAGGAGAGGUCACAUCCCUCAUUUAUACAGAGUUAUGAGCCCACAGGUGAGCUCUCCCAGGUCCUUCAGUUUAGGAGAGGUCACAUCCCUCAUUUAUACAGAGUUAUGAGCCCAUAGGUGAGCUCUCCCAUGUCCUUCAGUUUAGGAGAGGUCACAUCCCUCAUUUAUACAGAGUUAUGAGCCCACAGGUGAGCUCUCCCAUGUCCUUCAGUUUAGGAGAGGUCACAUCCCUCAUUAUACAGAGUUAUGAGCCCACAGGUGAGCUCUCCCAUGUCCUUCAGUUUAGGAGAGGUCACAUCCCUCAUUAUACAGAGUUAUGAGCCCACAGGUGAGCUCUCCCAGGUCCUUCAGUUUAGGAGAGGUCACAUCCCUCAUUAUACAGAGUUAUGAGCCCACAGGUGAGCUCUCCCACAUCCCUUCGUCUUUUCAUUGAGUCCCAGAGUCAGUUUGGGAACGCAAACUCUUUCUCUGGGAAUCUGGAAUCGGAAUCUGAUUUCAGAACGCUUGGAAUUCCACCAUGUUCCGUUCGGUCCAGGACUCAUAUUUAC